UUUAAGUGCAACCAUGAGUUUUCAUUGCUAACUUUGAUCGUCUGUCUUAUUUGAUUUUUUUUAUAAUUAUUAUUUUUGUUGUUAUAAGAUGAUAAAACAUGAAUAAUACUUUAUGCGUGACUUAUGUUUUUAAAAUUUUUCAAAUAAGAUAGACGAUUAAAGUCGGACACGGAAAAUCAUGGCUGCACUUAAA
rfam:Oryza rufipogon genomic scaffold, chr02